AAUUGACGAGUACUAAUGUUAUGGCAAGAAUGGAAAAUUAAUUCUGUAUUUCUUAAUUACUUUGUUUCAGACAUAAUUUCGAGAUAUGCCUUGACGCAAAUGAGUUUGAAAUAAUUCGUAUAAACAUCGCGUGCGUCACGAUGUGCUUUGUGUAGCGGUAUAAUAUUAGACACCCGGUGGACGCGCAUCUCGUUCGUUGAUAUCUCGCCGCUAUAAGAUCCACGGGAAUAUCACGCUGUAUACGUGCGUGCGCGUUUCGGAUGCGUGUGCGUGCCCAUUCAGAAACUCUUCUUUCUAGUGGCCCAUUGAAGAAUCCAGCCGCGAGUCGGUGUGCCCGUUAAGCCGUGUUAUCUUAAUACUUUGAGGACCGAAGGGAUGUAUCUACACCGCAUCACGUGGGACAUACUUAGCGAUCGAAGCUAGUAAAAGAAUGAUUAAGGUCGAUGAAGACGAAAAUGCGAUCUGUCGUAACGAGGGAAAUCGGACAUCUCUAAGUUUAGCUUCUAUUUGCAUGCGGAUCAGGGACGGAUUCGAGCUGCCAAGGCGCCAUAACAUAUAAGAAUCGAUAGAUUUUUUUUUUAAUGGAGAGAUUCAAGAAGGUCAAGAGAUCACUCGCGGCCGCGAAGGUGUCUAAGACCAAAAGGAGGAAGGAAAUCUAAUUAUAGAAGUCGUUGUACCGCGUGCUCGGCGGAGAACCAUGGAGGGUGUGAGUGCGGGUGCACGAAUAAGAAUCGGUUGUGCAUUGGGCGGUCAUAAAAUGCAGUCUGCAUCCGCUCGACGCAGAUGUACUGCGGAACGGGGUUCGUUCCUCCUACGAGGAGUCCGCAAAGGAUCUCUCGUUUCGGUGUUAGGCGACCUACCGAGAUGUGCCCGGUACAAUGAACUAGAAUGAAGAUCCGCGAAACGCGAUUAAUCGAACCGCGCGCGAGAGACUCAUAGCUCUCUUUGAACCCUCCGGAUAUUGCUCGACUGGUUCAGAUUAAA